rnacentral:lncRNA from 1 species
UUUAAAUUUUAAAAUUUGAGAUUGUCACGCCUCGGAUUAUCACGUUUUCCCAGGCACGUUAACAGACCCGCCGUAUACAAAAAAAUUUCUUCUGUAUACGAAGUGAUAGCUGUAUCUGUAAACAAACCAAGCUACAACCACAGGUAAAGAGCUGCAAAACACAACAGAAUAUAUAGAUAAAACAUCAGGUUUAAUGACACUAGGUUCAAUGGCAUUUUCCACCUAGGUUCACUCGACUUUAGGUUUAAUGACAUUCCAAUCAUGUUCUUUCUUUAUCCUAAUUGUCCACACCUAGGAUUCAUAACUUCAUGACAUCUAGUCCUUGAUUUCACACUUGUCAAGUUCUUUAAUUGUUUCUAGAGUUCAUCAACCUUUGUUCAUUAUCCA